GGGGAAUAUUGGACAAUGGGCGAAAGCCUGAUCCAGCCAUGCCGCGUGUGUGAAGAAGGUCUUCGGAUUGUAAAGCACUUUAAGUUGGGAGGAAGGGUUUCUGGCUAAUAUCCAGGAAUUUUGACGUUACCGACAGAAUAAGCACCGGCUAACUUCGUGCCAGCAGCCGCGGUAAUACGGAGGAUGCGAGCGUUAUCCGGAUUUAUUGGGUUUAAAGGGUGCGCAGGCGGGCUUUUAAGUCAGCGGUGAAAUCUGGACGCUUAACGUCCAAACUGCCGUUGAAACUGGGAGUCUUGAGUAUGGAUGAAGUAGGCGGAAUUCGUUGUGUAGCGGUGACAUGCAUAGAUAUAACGAGGAACGCCGAUUGCGUAGGCAGCUUACUAAGCCAUAACUGACGCUCAUGCACGAAAGCGUGGGGAUCAAACA
rnacentral:rRNA from 1 species